UAUCUUGAAAAUAAACAAGCCAUGUCAUCAAAAAUGCAUGUGUCACAUUUAUGCCACAGUAAACUUUGUGUCAACAUCAAGCACUUAAGUUAUGGGCCUCAAAGCAUUAACAAAAGGAAAAUAUGUGCUCAUGAAGGUUCCCUAUGCACUUGAAAAUGUUUCCAAGCUGUGUCUUGUUUACAGUGAUGUUCUCAUAGUCAGAUAUAUUUGCCCACUGUUUCCAAUUGUAGCACUUUGAUUUUCAGACUGUGGUACUGUUUGACGUGGUCGCAGUUUAAAAGGAAGAACGAGUGGACCCCGAGAACGGUUACACGCAUGCAAGACAUCGUUAGCCCUAGAAUCACCCAAUCGCACGACACUUUCCAGACUGUGGUACUGUUUGACGUGGUCGCAGUUUAAAAGGGAGAACGAGUGGACCCCGAGAACGGUUACACGCAUUCAAGACAUCGUUAGCCACAGAAUCACCCAAUCGCACGACACUUUCCAGACUGUGGCACUGUUUGACGUGGUCGCAGUUUAAAAGGGAGAACGAGUGGACCCCGAGAACGGUUACACUCAUGCAAGACAUCGUUAGCCACAGAAUCACCCAAUCGCACGACACUUUCCAGACUGUGGUACUGUUUGAAGUGGUCGCAGUUUAAAAGGGAGAACGAGUGGACCCCGAGAACGGUUACACGCAUUCAAGACAUCGUUAGCCACAGAAUCACCCAAUCGCACGACACUUUCCAGGUCAGGGUCUGAAUUCAAGGGAAUAGAAUCUUGAACUUGUUUCUCUACACAGGGCACAUGCCUGCAGAAACUUUAUAGUUUGGAAAUACUCCUUUUUUGAAAAGUACACCUUUGUUUUUCCUAGCGUGAUUGUUUUUAUAACUGUGCUGUGAUUUCUUAUGGAGUGAUCUCAUUUUGAAUGGUAUUUUAAUGAAUGAAUAUCAAUAUUUGGUGCAUGUAUUAUGUAAUCAUAUGGGAAUAUACAUCUGUAAGACUGAUUGAUAGUGUCAAUAAUCAUUUUAAACAUUUGACAUAUAACUUGUGUGCUUCUCUACUAAAUAGAGUCAAAUGUUGUGAAUAGGAACACUAUUUUUUGGAUUAUUUCUGUUCUUGUUGUUUCCCUUGAAUUGUGUGAAAUUUUGGAAUUACUAUAAAAUGCAAACAAAACACAGGAUACAGUUCAGAAAUGUUGCAUUUAAUUCAUUAAACAUUAUAUUUCAAUAUAACAAAAGCUUUUUGUUUUAUUAUGCAUAUAUUAAAAAACUUAAGGUGGCAGUGGAUAUAUCAG